rnacentral:lncRNA from 1 species
UGGGUUGCUGAUUUUCAUAAAUAUCUCAUGUAGGAGAGGAUCCCUUCAGGUUGCUCAUAGCUGCAUGAAGACAUUCGGCCUCUACAAAUCGUCUGCAUGAAGAUCGAUGCAGAUCAGGCUCCUUGAAAGUACUAGUUUGCAAGAAUCUUCAAAAGCUGAAUUCUCUUUUCUUCUUUAGAUCUCUUGGAUGCUCCAAAGGAGAGGAAGAAUUAGAGGAGGA